AGGAGGGUACUACCACCAUGCUGAGCCAAAAUACUUGAUGCUUGUAUAUUGGAUUCCUGGAACUCCAAGUACUAUACCUGCAAAUGCUUCUCACCGAAUUGGUGUCGGUGCUUGUGUGAUAAAUGAUAAAAGAGAGGAAGAAUAAUUCUCGUCCAUUGACACCAAUUUGAAUAUUCCGCUUUGUAGAUACUGGUAGUACAGGAGAAAAGUGGCGCGUUCCGGGCCACAGGUGUUUGGAAAUUCCCUUCUGGAGCUGUAGAUGAGAAAUUUCGAUU